rnacentral:rRNA from 1 species
CAGCAGCCGCGGUAAUACGUAGGUGGCAAGCGUUGUCCGGAAUUAUUGGGCGUAAAGGGUGCGUAGGCGGUUUGGCAAGUCUUGUGUGAAAUCUAUGGGCUCAACCCAUAGCCUGCACGAGAAACUACCGGGCUUGAAUGCAGAAGAGGAAAGCGGAAUUCCAUGUGUAGCGGUGAAAUGCGUAGAUAUAUGGAGGAACACCAGUGGCGAAGGCGGCUUUCUGGUCUGUGAUUGACGCUGAGGCUCGAAAGCGUGGGGAGCGAACAGGAUUAGAGACCCCGGUAGUCCCUGUCUCUUAUAC